rnacentral:rRNA from 1 species
GAGUUUGAUCCUGGCUCAGAACGAACGCUGGCGGCGUGCUUAACACAUGCAAGUCGAACGUGAUCCGGAGCUUGCUCCGGUGAAAGUGGCGCACGGGUGAGUAACGCGUGGAUAAUYUGCCCUGGUAUCUGGGAUAACAUCUCGAAAGGGGUGCUAAUACCGGAUAAGCCCACGGGAUCCUCGGAUUCUGCGGGAAAAGGUGGCCUCUAUUUAUAAGCUACCGUAUCAGGAUGAGUCCGCGUACCAUUAGCUAGUUGGUGGGGUAAUGGCCCACCAAGGCUACGAUGGUUAGCUGGUCUGAGAGGAUGAUCAGCCACACUGGAACUGAGACACGGUCCAGACUCCUWCGGGAGGCAGCAGUGGGGAAUUUUGCGCAAUGGGGGAAACCCUGACGCAGCAACGCCGCGUGAGUGAUGAAGGCUUUCGGGUCGUAAAGCUCUGUCUGAGGGGAAGAACCGCCGGGUGGUUAAUACCUGCCUGGUCUGACGGUACCCACAAAGGAAGCACCGGCUAACUCCGUGCCAGCAGCCGCGGUAAUAC